GCUGACGUCUUGGCCGUGACCUCCUGGGAUCAGACUCGUGUCCUCCUGCCAUCAGGACCCUGCGGAACUUUCCCCAAGAUGGGUCCUCCGAGCCUGGCAGCGGUUGCACUCCUCCUGGAGCAACUGACAACGAGGGUGGGCGCGGAGGUCGAGACCUGAGGAAACCGGCCGAUACCACUGGAGGGCGCGCGCCGGUCGGAGAGGCUAGGUGGUGAAGCCUCUCCUAUACAUCUGCCUUCUACAACAACAAGUUUGUUCCAACUGUGACGAAAGGGAAGAGGAAUUUGUGAAAGUCACCAAUACUGUACCAUCACAUUGAUAUGAGACCUCUUGCCAGGAGCUCAUGGAAGACAGUGACCUGGUGCAGUGGAAAGCACAAGACUUUAGGCCAUGGCAACAAAGGGCCUUGUGCUCACUACAGCAAAGCGUCCUGUCUUUGUCCAGCCCAGUCCAGUACAUCAGUCUCUGCAAAUAACAAAAGAUGUGGCCACUCGGCCGCCUGUCGGUGCCGCCACCAGAGCACCGAGAAAGGUUGAGGCCUCUCCAACUGGAACUGAACUAGGAGAGCAGCAGACAGUGGUUGGCAAUCUGCCUGCCAAUACAGAGGACACGGGUUCAAGCCCUGGUCCAGGAAGAUCUCACAUGCCACAGAGCAACUAAGCCCAUGCACCACAACUACUGAGCCUGUGCUCUAGAGCCCACAAGCCACAACUACUGAGCCCAUGUACCACAACUACUGAAGCCCACGUACCUAGGGCCCGUGCUCCGCAACAAGAGCAGCCACCGCAGU